UACAGAGGUCCCAAGCGUUGUUCGGAUUCAUUGGGCGUAAAGGGUGCGUAGGUGGCGCGCUAAGUCGGGUGUGAAAUUUCGGAGCUUAACUCCGAAACUGCAUUCGAUACUGGUGUGCUUGAGGACUGGAGAGGAGACUGGAAUUCAUGGUGUAGCAGUGAAAUGCGUAGAGAUCAUGAGGAAGACCAGUGGCGAAGGCGGGUCUCUGGACAGUUCCUGACACUGAGGCACGAAGGCCAGGGGAGCAAACGGG
rnacentral:rRNA from 1 species